GCAAGUUUAGUUUAAAAAAAAUAAUAGUUUGUCUCACUGUUGAUGGCUUAGAGAGCUAGCUUGCU
rnacentral:tRNA from 2 species